rnacentral:rRNA from 1 species
UCGACCUACGGGGCGCAGCAGUGAGGAAUAUUGGUCAAUGGACGAGAGUCUGAACCAGCCAAGUAGCGUGAAGGCCGAAGGUGCCAAGCAUUGUAAACUUCUUUUGUCAAGGGACAAAAUCAGGCUCGAGAGCCUGACCGAGGGUACUUGAAGAAAAAGCAUCGGCUAACUCCGUGCCAGCAGCCGCGGUAAUACGGAGGAUGCGAGCGCUAUCCGGAUUUAUUGGGUUUAAAGGGUGCGUAGGCGGGCUGUUAAGUCAGCGGUAAAAGCCCGGGGCUCAACCCCGGCGAGCCGUUGAAACUGGG